rnacentral:misc_RNA from 1 species
GAUGAAGAACGUAGCGAAAUGCGAUAAGUAGUGUGAAUUGCAGACUUUAGUGAAUCAUCGAAUCUUUGAACGCACAUUGCGCCCCUUGGUAUUCCAUUGGGCAUGCCUGUUCGAGCGUCAUUUAAACCUUCAAGCUCAGCUUGGUGUUGGGGCCUGCUGCACUGGCAGCCCUUAAAAUCAGUGGCGGCGCCAUCUGGCUCUAAGCGUAGUAAUUCUUCUCGCUAUGGAGUCCUGGUGGAUGCUUGCCAUCAACCCCCAAUUUUUCUAUGGUUGACCUCGGAUCAGGUAGGGAUACCCGCUGAACUUAAGCAUAUCAAUAAGCGGAGGA